rnacentral:rRNA from 1 species
UCCCUACGGGGUGCACCAGGCGCGCAAACUUUACAAGGCGAGCAAUCGUGAUAAGGAAACCCUGAGUGCCUGUCGAUGCAGGCUGUUCAUAUAUCUAAAUCAUAUGUGAAGAAAGGGCAGGGCAAGACCGGUGCCAGCCGCCGCGGUAAUACA